UUAGGAGUAACUUUUGGACUACAUGCAGUUUCAUUAGUGCAUUUUUAUUUGAUUUAAGCCAUAAAAUACAGAAGCGACUUGCGAGAAGCUUUGGUGACUGAAAGAUGAAAUUACUACAUACU
rnacentral:sRNA from 12 species